AUCGCCCUGUGGUGGAUUCCUUAGAUGUUCGGGGCCGCACGCGCGCUACACUGACCGGAUCAGCGUGUGCUCUCCUUGGCCGACAGGUCCGGGAAACCCGUUGAACCCCGGUCGUGCUAGGGAUAGGGAAUUGCAAUUAUUUCCCUUGAACGAGGAAUUCCCAGUAAGCGCGAGUCAUUAGCUCGCGUUGAUUACGUCCCUGCCCUUUGUACACACCGCCCGUCGCUACUACCGAUUGAAUGGUUUAGUGAGGUCCUCCGAUUGGACCCGGUCCGGGCGGCGACGUCCGAGCCGGCGUCCGAGAAGACGAUCUAACUUGAUCAUUUAGAGGAAGUAAAAGUCGUAACAAGGUUUCCGUAGGUGAACCUGCGGAAGGAUCAUUA
rnacentral:ncRNA from 1 species